AGUGAACGCUGGCGGUAGGCCUAACACAUGCAAGUCGAACGGCAGCACAGUAAGAGCUUGCUCUUACGGGUGGCGAGUGGCGGACGGGUGAGGAAUACAUCGGAAUCUACUUUUUCGUGGGGGAUAACGUAGGGAAACUUACGCUAAUACCUCAUACGACCUACGGGUGAAAGCAGGGGAUCUUCGUACCUUGCGCGAUUGAAUGAGCCGAUGUCGGAUUAGCUAGUUGGCGGGGUAAAGGCCCACCAAGGCGACGAUCCGUAGCUGGUCUGAGAGGAUGAUCAGCAACACUGGAACUGAAACACGGUCCAGACUCCUACGGGAGGCAGCAGUGGGGAAUAUUGGACAAUGGGCGCAAGCCUGAUCCAGCCAGACCGCGUGGGUGAAGAAGGCCUUCGGGUUGUAAGGCCCUUUUGUUGGGAAAGAAAAGCAGCAGGUUAAUACCCCGCUGUUCUGACGGUACCCAAAGAAUAAGCACCGGCUAACUUCGUG
rnacentral:rRNA from 1 species